CCUACGGGUGGCAGCAGUGAGGAAUAUUGGUCAAUGGACGAGAGUCUGAACCAGCCAAGUAGCGUGAAGGAUGACUGCCCUAUGGGUUGUAAACUUCUUUUAUAUGGGAAUAAAAUGUUCCACGUGUGGGAUUUUGUAUGUACCAUAUGAAUAAGGAUCGGCUAACUCCGUGCCAUCAGCCGCGGUACUACGGAGGAUCCGAGCGUUGUCCGGAUUGAUUGGGUUUAAAGGGAGCGUAGGUGGAUUGUUAAGUCAGUUGUGAAAGUUUGCGGCUCAACCGUAAAAUUGCAGUUGAAACUGGCAGUCUUGAGUACAGUAGAGGUGGGCGGAAUUCGUGGUGUAGCGGUGAAAUGCUUAGAUAUCACGAAGAACUCCGAUUGCGAAGGCAGCUCACUGGACUGCAACUGACACUGAGGCUCGAAAGUGUGGGUAUCAAACAGGAUUAGAUACCCCUGUAGUC
rnacentral:rRNA from 1 species